GGAGGAAUAGUUUUCCAAAGUUGCUCUUGGGGUGAGCAGGCAUUAUCAAUUGCUCGUGAUGUGCUGCUACCAUUUGGUGAUGACAUGGAGCUCUAUUCAUUUAAAACUAGUCCUCAUGGGUACAUCUAUGUCAGAUUAGACAAACUUCCAAAUAAUUUUGGAUGUCCAAGUAUGGAUGAAAUGGAAGAAUUUAGCCGCCAAUACAAGAAAAGGUUAGACGAAGCUGGUGCACUAGGGAAAAUUCCCGAGGACCUGGCCAUUGAGGUAUCAUCUCCUGGUGCUGAGCGGCUAAUAAAAGUACCAGAUGACUUAUCCCGCUUCAAGGAUAGGCCUAUGAGAGUUAUCUAUAUAGAAGAAAUGAACUCUAGAAAGGUUGAAAAGAAUGGAAUAUUCUUCAUGGAAUCAAUCGAUGCAGAAUCAGGAAGCUGUGUGUGGAAGUUGGCGGACGUGAAGGAGAAUAGAG
rnacentral:misc_RNA from 1 species